GUGUGGGUUCUGCACCAUGUGGGACAAGAUUCAUCCCAGCUCAGAAGGCUCUGCUCCCCCGUUUACAAGGAUCGAGCUGUGCUCCAGGAGCAGAUGCAUCCCGUGAAAGGCAUCUCUGUGCUUUUCCAGGUGCCUGGGAAGCAGUCUGGAUAGUUAGUAACACAAUUUCUGCAAGGACCAUACUACUAAAGGCUGGCUCCCUUCCAAAGAAGAGAUUUGGAGGAAACAAAAGCUGGCAAAAGUGAUGCUGUAGAUGAAGAACAUGCAGACAGCUGGGCUUAUAACCAAAUGGGAGAGUUAACUUGCAGAAAAACAGGCUAUCUCCAGCCCGAGCAGAGAGGUGAAAUCUUGACAUCACUGAAGGCGCACUGCUGUUCUGCAGGAGAGGUGGCUGUGAGAUACCAGCCAGGUACAGGCACUGGUGGCAGGCUGUGAUUCACCUGUGAAAUCACCUGUAACUACCGCAGGUUGGGUUGCCAUUUCCUCCUCGCAGUGGCUGCAAGGGGGACGCUGCCAGCAAGGUGCUGGCUGCUGUGUCGCAGUGCAACCCUCCAGCACUCCGUGCCACCUGAGCCAUGUGCCAGGGACUGAACAUGCACCUGCAGUUGGCUGCUCUGAGAGAGGCCUGAGCUGGCGAUCCUGUGGCCAUAGCGUAAUGCGAGGCAGUAAGCUGCGUUGGUAUUAGAAUACACUUUUUCAGGCUUCAUACCUACUUGGCUGAGAACGAUAUGCAUGUGCGUAUAUGUAUGCUUGGAGAGGAAAAUCUGUAUAAGCAGCAUUAAACAGAGGAUGUAAUACAUCACUAGGAUGUGAGAGUUGGUGCUUUUUGUGUUUGAUAUCACCACACUUACGUAGAAUUGAAAUAACAAAGCCCAGAAUGUCAUGGGCUCACACACACAGUCUGCUGCAUCUUGUUCUUAUGCGUCACCUCUAUACACGCAGUCGCAUACGUUAACUUGCUUCAGAGGAAAAGAAACACAGACGCAAAUCAAUGUGUUUCUGGACAGCAGCACGCAGGUGGGAGCUCUGUUCUGUGCUGGGAACUUCCCUGGUGGUCAGAUUCACGUUGUCAUGGACAGCACCUGACACGGCCUCUUGCUUUCAUGGGAGAUGCAAGACAGAGCCAAGUCUUGCAAAGAAUUUACAUCCCACUCCAGAAAAAUUCUUAAGAAUUGAUUUAGCAUUAAUCUUAGAAAUCUCUCCUGUUCAAGUGCUUCAUGAAGAUCAAGACAUUAGUUACAUGAUCCUAACCUAAUAGAAAAUUAAGGCUUUUGAUCUCAAAGCUACAUUGGAACUACAGCUGCCUAGGACAUAUUGGGAUCAAGGCUGGAAAGCAGCAUUUCUCUAUGUGGGAUACUUUGCACGUAUCAUAUUUAAAUAAAACUCUUAUCAAUUAAAUUCAGAAAGAUCCCUCUUGCUUCAUUUUCAAGAGUUGUGCUGAUAAUCACUAUUGGAUCUUCCCUAUGAAUAGUCCCCACAGUCACAGUUAAGUAAGAGACAUGAAAAUGUAUCAGAAAUAUUUCUCUCUCCACUUCCCAUGCCUGAAUUCUGCACAAACCAUGCUGUAAGCUCAAAUAAGCACAACUAUUACACAACAGCGUUUGGAAACCGUUCUUAUUCUUGUUGAAGAUAAGUGCAAGUUCUGCCACUGAAUUUGAGGGGAACGUAAUU
ensembl:lncRNA